CUCUGGCCCAUGCCUCUUGACUCACUCCUACGGAGGAAGAGCCGUGUUCCCAACACGUUGAGCGCUGUUUCUGUCCCUCUGCACCUGGCCUCUGUCCUCUGCAGCAGCUCUUAACCAAUUUUCGCUUGGAUCUGAGUGGUGUGAAGCUGCCCGGCACUGAGAGCUGCGUGACUGCCAGUCGGCUUGAGGAUGACUCCCUCUGCCACACAGAAGCCCAUGGAAACACCCCGACGUGCAGCACAGCAGAAGGUGCACAACUUCUGGCUAUUCCACCAAUACGCAGACUACACAGUGAGUUCAGUUGUGAAUCACCAGAAAGUCUUAUGCCACUGCCACUCAACAGUUACCACUUACAGGUGACUGCUAUCUACAUUCACUACUACAUUUCACUAAGAGAUGCAAGAUGUGAUUUUCUGAUUGUUUUUACUUAUUUAUUUUUCUCUUCCAUAUAG
rnacentral:lncRNA from 1 species